GUGUCUUUCAGUUCGGCUGGACCGGAUACAGGUGCUGCAUGGCUGUCGUCAGCUCGUGUCGUGAGAUGUUGGGUUAAGUCCCGCAACGAGCGCAACCCUCGCCUUUAGUUGCCAUCAUUUAGUUGGGCACUCUAAAGGGACUGCCAGUGAUAAGCUGGAGGAAGGUGGGGAUGACGUCAAGUCCUCAUGGCCCUUACGGGCUGGGCUACACACGUGCUACAAUGGUGGUGACAGUGGGCAGCAAGCACGCGAGUGUGAGCUAAUCUCCAAAAGCCAUCUCAGUUCGGAUUGCACUCUGCAACUCGAGUGCAUGAAGUUGGAAUCGCUAGUAAUCGCGGAUCAGCAUGCCGCGGUGAAUACGUUC
rnacentral:rRNA from 1 species